GAUGAAGAACGCAGCGAAACGCGAUAGGUAAUGUGAAUUGCAGAAUUCGUGAAUCAUUGAAUCUUUGAACGCAUAUUGCGCCUUCUGGUAUUCCGGUAGGCGUGUCUGUUUGAGCGUCAGCGAAAAACCCCUUCGGCCUGUGUAUUCAUAUACUUCUGCCGGUGUUGGGUCUAGGAAGCUGGUAGACAACUUUUACGUCCUUACCUGCGCCUGCCCUAAACUUGCUGUACGACCGUGAGCCCGUCCAGGCCCCCGUUCAAUGGAGUGGUAUUGAUAAUCUUCCAAUGAACCCGCCGGAAGCUCUUGCGGCACUAAACCUUAAGCCUCCCCCUCCAUGGUGAAGGCUCUCAAAGUUUUGACCUCAAAUCAGACAAGGAUACCCGCUGAACUUAAGCAUAUCAAUAAGCGGAGGA
rnacentral:misc_RNA from 1 species